rnacentral:rRNA from 1 species
GGCCUUGACAUACUAAGAACUUUCCAGAGAUGGAUUGGUGCCUUCGGGAACUUAGAUACAGGUGCUGCAUGGCUGUCGUCAGCUCGUGUCGUGAGAUGUUGGGUUAAGUCCGCAACGAGCGCAACCCUUUUCCUUAUUUGCCAGCGGGUCAUGCCGGGAACUUUAAGGAUACUGCCAGUGACAAACUGGAGGAAGGCGGGGACGACGUCAAGUCAUCAUGGCCCUUACGGCCAGGGCUACACACGUGCUACAAUGGUCGGUACAAAGGGUUGCUACCUCGCGAGAGGAUGCUAAUCUCAAAAAGCCGAUCGUAGUCCGGAUCGCAGUCUGCAACUCGACUGCGUUAAGUCGGAAUCGCUAGUAAUCGCGGAUCAGAAUGCCGCGGUGAAUACGUUCCCGGGCCUUGUACACACCGCCCGUCACACCAUGGGAGUUUGUUGCACCAGAAGUAGGUAGUCUAACCGCAAGGAGGACGCUUACCACGGUGUGGCCGAUGACUGGGGUGAAGUCGUAACAAGGUAAGCGUAGAUGA